AAAUAAAAUCAAUUAAUUUGCAGUCAUUAUUUAAUUAUUUCCUUAUGUUUAUAAGUGUUUUGUAUUUUACUUUGAAAAACCUGAAGUUUAUUUUGAAGACCGGAAGUAGUAGGCCGCGCUAGUGAAGCAGUUUAACCUCACUAAUGCACAGACGGAGCACGCCACUUCACUUCCGCGUGAGAGAGGAAAACGGGAAAAAAGAGAGAGGAAAAACCGUCGUUGAAGCUCUUUCCGGCCGCGUUUCUCCUGAAAAAACCAUUGGUCAGGUUCUAUUGUGAUGCUUGGAAAGAGUGAAGCUUCAGCUUUCAUGUCUGAGGAAGCUGAUGAGCGAUCCAACUGAUGGCGAGCUCCCAGUCCACCUUCGGUGCUUCAAGCAGAACUUUUAAUUCCGCCACACCACUUAACGGAUUAAGUGGUAGGAUUUGUGUCAGUCCAACUGACCGGCACCAACGAAAGCCUUCCUUGGAUAUCCUUGAAUCUUGACUUUUGACUUUGACUUUUGGAUCCAAACCACCGAGGAACACUCCCAUUUGGACAUUUAUUUAUAUUAUUUUAUUUCUUAGUUUAUGGGCCCAAGGUUGUAAUGUUAUUGUGUUUAGUAUUGUUAAGAUCUUUGUGGAACUAAAGAGUUUCAAAUCAUUCUGCCUCUGUGUCCAGUGGUUAUUGUUUCACUCGGCUCCUACGAACCUAGUAUGUGACGUGUACAUACCCUGAAGUGGGUUACAUUUAAAAAAAAAAAAAAAAAAGUUUCUUAUAUUUUAUGUC